rnacentral:rRNA from 1 species
GGGGAUUAGUGGCGAACGGGUGAGUAACACGUGAGUAACCUGCCCUUAACUCUGGGAUAAGCCUGGGAAACUGGGUCUAAUACCGGAUAUGACUUCUCAUCGCAUGGUGGGGGGUGGAAAGCUUUUUGUGGUUUUGGAUGGACUCGCGGCCUAUCAGCUUGUUGGUGAGGUAAUGGCUUACCAAGGCGACGACGGGUAGCCGGCCUGAGAGGGUGACCGGCCACACUGGGACUGAGACACGGCCCAGACUCCUACGGGAGGCAGCAGUGGGGAAUAUUGCACAAUGGGCGCAAGCCUGAUGCAGCGACGCCGCGUGAGGGAUGACGGCCUUCGGGUUGUAAACCUCUUUCAGUAGGGAAGAAGCGAAAGUGACGGUACCUGCAGAAGAAGCGCCGGCUAACUACGUGCCAGCAGCCGCGGUAAUACGUAGGGCGCAAGCGUUAUCCGGAAUUAUUGGGCGUAAAGAGCUCGUAGGCGGUUUGUCGCGUCUGCCGUGAAAGUCCGGGGCUCAACUCCGGAUCUGCGGUGGGUACGGGCAGACUAGAGUGAUGUAGGGGAGACUGGAAUUCCUGGUGUAGCGGUGAAAUGCGCAGAUAUCAGGAGGAACACCGAUGGCGAAGGCAGGUCUCUGGGCAUUAACUGACGCUGAGGAGCGAAAGCAUGGGGAGCGAACAGGAUUAGAUACCCUGGUAGUCCAUGCCGUAAACGUUGGGCACUAGGUGUGGGGGACAUUCCACGUUUUCCGCGCCGUAGCUAACGCAUUAAGUGCCCCGCCUGGGGAGUACGGCCGCAAGGCUAAAACUCAAAGGAAUUGACGGGGGCCCGCACAAGCGGCGGAGCAUGCGGAUUAAUUCGAUGCAACGCGAAGAACCUUACCAAGGCUUGACAUGGACCGGACCGCCGCAAAAAUGUGGUUUCCCCUUUGGGGCCGGUUCACAGGUGGUGCAUGGUUGUCGUCAGCUCGUGUCCUGAGAUGUUGGGUUAAGUCCCGCAACAAGCGCAACCCUCGUUCUAUGUUGCCAGCACGUGAUGGUGGGGACUCAUAGGAAACUGCCGGG